rnacentral:rRNA from 1 species
UACAGAGGGGGCAAGCGUUAUUCGGAAUUACUGGGCGUAAAGCGUGCGCAGGCGGUUAUUUAAGUCAGGUGUGAAAGCCCUGGGCUUAACCUAGGAAUUGCGCUUGAGACUGGAUAGCUUGGAGUGCGGCAGAGGGAGGUGGAAUUCCACGUGUAGCAGUGAAAUGCGUAGAGAUGUGGAGGAACACCGAUGGCGAAGGCAGCCUCCUGGGCCAGCACUGACGCUCAUGCACGAAAGCGUGGGGAGCAAACAGG